GAACGUGACAAAGAUGCAUUCUGUGUGGAGGAAAGAAACCUCAGUUGCUGCCAAAAAAUUGUGUUCCAGAUGCAAGCUGACGAACUGUCACUGCAGAAGGUUAGGAUGAUACAGGCCACCUUCCAGGAAAUCUGCAGGAAGCAAAGCACUGAGCUGCAAAGGCAAUGCAGAAGAGGCAGUACAGUAGUAGAAAACCUCUUAUCUCUUCAAAAUCAUGAAGCCAUCGCCAUCCUGCCUUCUGCUCAACAGGUUGGCUCAGGCACUCAUCUUUGGCUCUGCAUGUGAAAGUACAAGUUAGGAAGCUAAUAUGAGCUGGAGAAUCAAAAAAGGACUGCCCUUG